rnacentral:rRNA from 1 species
UACAGAGGUCUCAAGCGUUUGUUCGGAUUCAUUGGGCGUAAAGGGUGCGUAGGCGGCGCGGUAAGUCGGGUGUGAAAUCUCGGAGCUUAACUCCGAAACUGCAUUCGAUACUGCCGUGCUUGAGGACUGGAGAGGAGACUGGAAUUUACGGUGUAGCGGUGAAAUGCGUAGAUAUCGUAAGGAAGACCAGUGGCGAAGGCGGGUCUCUGGACAGUUCCUGACGCUGAGGCACGGAAGGCCCAGGGGAGCAAAACGGG